rnacentral:rRNA from 1 species
AGUGAAUAGAUACCCUGGUAGUCCACGCCGUAAACGAUGGAUACUAGCUGUUCGGAGCAAAUCUGAGUGGCUAAAGCGAAAGUGAUAAGUAUCCCACCUGGGGAGUACGCACGCAAGUGUGAAACUCAAAGGAAUUGACGGGGGCCCGCACAAGCGGUGGAGCAUGUGGUUUAAUUCGAUGAUACGCGAGGAACCUUACCAGGGCUUAAAUGUAGAUUGACAGGACUGGAAACAGUUUUUCUUCGGACAAUUUACAAGGUGCUGCAUGGUUGUCGUCAGCUCGUGCCGUGAGGUGUCAGGUUAAGUCCUAUAACGAGCGCAACCCCUGUCGUUAGUUGCCAGCGAGUCAUGUCGGGAACUCUAACGAGACUGCCAGUGUAAACUGUGAGGAAGGUGGGGAUGACGUCAAAUCAUCACGGCCCUUACGUCCUGGGCCACACACGUGCUACAAUGGUAGGUACAGAGAGCAGCCACUGCGCGAGCAGGAGCGAAUCUACAAAACCUAUCUCAGUUCGGAUCGGA